CAGCCGCCGCGGUAAUACCGGCGGCCCGAGUGGCGGUCACUAUUAUUGGGCUUAAAGCGUCCGUAGCCGGGUUGGGAAGUCCUCCGGGAAAUCUGGCCGCUUAACGGUCAGAAUGCCGGAGGAUACUCCCAGCCUAGGGAGCGGGAGAGGCCGAGGGGAUUCCCGGAGUAGGGGUGGAAUCCUAUAAUCCCGGGAGGGCCACCUGUGGCGAAGGCGCCCGGCUGGAACGCGUCCGACGGUGAGGGACGAAGGCCAGGGGAGCAAACCGGAUUAGAUACCCGGGUAGUCCUGGCGGUAAACGAUGCGGACUUUGUGUCGGACAAGCUAUGAGCUUGUCCGGUGCCGGAGGGAAACCGUUAAGUCCGCCGCCUGGGGAGUACGGCCGCAAGGCUGAAACUUAAAGGAAUUGGCGGG
rnacentral:rRNA from 1 species